rnacentral:rRNA from 1 species
UACGUAGGGCCCGAGCAUUAUCCGGAAUUAUUGGGCGUAAAGAGCGUGUAGGUGUCCCAUCAAGUCGGUCGUUAAAUCUCACUGCCCAACAGUGAGGCUGCGAGCGAUACUGAUGGGAUUGAGGUUUGCAGGGGCUAGCAGAAUUUCCAGAGUAGGGGUGAAAUCCGUUGAUACUGGAAGGAAUACCAAUGGCGAAGGCAGCUAGCUGGGCAACACCUGACACUGAGACGCGAAAGCGUGGGGAGCGAAC